AGUUUAUUGGAAACCUAAUUAAUACAGCUAAUAAUGUUUCAAAAUGCAGAUUAAAUAACUAAAUUCAGAUGCCCAUUUUAAGUGAUUUGAACUAAUCCUUAGUCACUGACUGUAAUGGCUAGAUCUUGGUUGAUUAUAAUGGAAAUUUAGAUACCUAGUACACCUGUGGACAUGCCCAGGUAGACAUUUAAGGGUAGGUGGCUUAGAAGAGAGGUGUAUUCCACUCUGUCUCUCUGGAUCAUGUUCUGAUGUUGUUAGAAUCAGUAGAGCUUGACCCCUAGCAAUAAAAUAAAAGAUCAGAUAGAACUAUUUUUCCCCAGUUCCAGGUUUAGAAUAUCUGGUGAAAUUCCAUACAUUCUGCAAAAAGACAUAAUUUAGUGGGUGCCAUAAGAAGACUAAGGCAACCAAUAAAGUUCUGCGCCUUCCUGAAUGAGUAUGAUUAUUCCUUACAUCAGUUACUGCAGAGUUCCUGAUGCAGCUCUGUCUGAUCCCACCACUGCCUUACUAAAAUCUGCAGUUUGCUGCUUGCGCACUGUUCUGUCCACAGGUUCCUGAGAAGAUCCAGCACGGAAAUAAAGCAGGAUCAAGGAGCUGGAACCCA
rnacentral:lncRNA from 1 species